CAGGCUUAACACAUGCAAGUCGAGGGGCAGCAUCAUCAAAGCUUGCUUUGAUGGAUGGCGACCGGCGCACGGGUGAGUAACACGUAUCCAACCUGCCGACAACACUGGGAUAGCCUUUCGAAAGAAAGAUUAAUACCGGAUGGCAUAGUUUUCCCCGCAUGGGAUGACUAUUAAAGAAUUUCGGUUGUCGAUGGGGAUGCGUUCCAUUAGGCAGUUGGCGGGGUAACGGCCCACCAAACCGACGAUGGAUAGGGGUUCUGAGAGGAAGGUCCCCCACAUUGGAACUGAGACACGGUCCAAACUCCUACGGGAGGCAGCAGUGAGGAAUAUUGGUCAAUGGACGAGAGUCUGAACCAGCCAAGUAGCGUGAAGGAUGACUGCCCUAUGGGUUGUAAACUUCUUUUAUACGGGAAUAAAGUUAGCCACGUGUGGCUUUUUGUAUGUACCGUAUGAAUAAGGAUCGGCUAACUCCGUGCCAGCAGCCGCGGUAAUACGGAGGAUCCGAGCGUUAUCCGGAUUUAUUGGGUUUAAAGGGAGCGUAGGCGGGUUGUUAAGUCAGUUGUGAAAGUUUGCGGCUCAACCGUAAAAUUGCAGUUGAUACUGGCGACCUUGAGUGCAACAGAGGUAGGCGGAAUUCGUGGUGUAGCGGUGAAAUGCUUAGAUAUCACGAAGAACUCCGAUUGCGAAGGCAGCUUACUGGAUUGUAACUGACGCUGAUGCUCGAAAGUGUGGGUAUCAAACAGGAUUAGAUACCCUGGUAGUCCACACAGUAAACGAUGAAUACUCGCUGUUGGCGAUAUACAGUCAGCGGCCAAGCGAAAGCAUUAAGUAUUCCACCUGGGGAGUACGCCGGCAACGGUGAAACUCAAAGGAAUUGACGGGGGCCCGCACAAGCGGAGGAACAUGUGGUUUAAUUCGAUGAUACGCGAGGAACCUUACCCGGGCUUAAAUUGCAACUGACUGAACCGGAAACGGUUCUUUCUUCGGACAGUUGUGAAGGUGCUGCAUGGUUGUCGUCAGCUCGUGCCGUGAGGUGUCGGCUUAAGUGCCAUAACGAGCGCAACCCUUAUCGAUAGUUACUAGCAGGUCAUGCUGAGGACUCUAUUGAGACUGCCGUCGUAAGAUGUGAGGAAGGUGGGGAUGACGUCAAAUCAGCACGGCCCUUACGUCCGGGGCUACACACGUGUUACAAUGGGGGGUACAGAAGGCAGCUACACGGCGACGUGGUGCUAAUCCCGAAAGCCUCUCUCAGUUCGGAUUGGAGUCUGCAACCCGACUCCAUGAAGCUGGAUUCGCUAGUAAUCGCGCAUCAGCCACGGCGCGGUGAAUACGUUCCCGGGCCUUGUACACACCGCCCGUCAAGCCAUGAAAGCCGGGGGUACCUGAAGUACGUAACCGCAAGGAGCGUCCUAGGGUAAAACUGGUGAUUGGG
rnacentral:rRNA from 1 species